UACGUAGGUGGCAAGCGUUGUCCGGAAUUAUUGGGCGUAAAGCGUGCGCAGGUGGUUUCUUAAGUCUGAUGUGAAAGCCCACGGCUCAACCGUGGAGGGUCAUUGGAAACUGGGGAACUUGAGUGCAGGAGAGAAGAGUGGAAUUCCACGUGUAGCGGUGAAAUGCGUAGAGAUGUGGAGGAACACCAGUGGCGAAGGCGACUCUUUGGCCUGUAACUGACACUGAGGCGCGAAAGCGUGGGGAGCAAACAGG
rnacentral:rRNA from 1 species